rnacentral:tRNA from 1 species
UGAGGGGCUAGUUUAACGGAUAAAACAGAUUCCUUCUAAGAAUCCAAUCGGAGUUCGAUUCUCCGGCCCUUUAU